GCGGCCGAUGCAGUUGAACUGGACGAGGAUGCUGCUCUCCCACUCGUAGAAGCACUGCAGGUGCAUCCAGGUGCUGCAGGGGCAGUGCUCGUUGUUGCACACCACCUUCUGGUAGUCGUCCUUCUCCAGGUCCACCGGCCUACCGAAGCUGCAGAUCAGGGGAGUGGCACAUGGGGCUUCUGGGGGAGGAAUAAAGAGAGAACAGAUUUCAGAUUUUUGGAUUAGGGGUACUCAACCUGUACUUGCAACAGUAUGGUAUAAGGUUUUUCUAAGACAUGAAUAUAAUGAAAGGCAGUUCCAGGGUUCCUUUAAAGAUGAAUCACUCCAGUGAACCAGGGAAUAAUAUGAUGAAGCUACUUAACCAACCAGUCUGGUGGAAUCUCUAAAAAGGACCUUCAACGCCCUUCAUCCUGAGCUUUAGGUUGUCCUGAAUACCAGAAAGCCGCUGGAACAUAGACGGUCUCAUACCGAUUUCUCGUCUAAGGUGGUCUGACACCCAAUGGCAGGGAUAUUGAAUCAAACUAAUUGUUGGUCUACACAAAAUUACAAAGCCAGGCUGUGAAGGAAAAAACCAGAAUUCUUCCAAAGCUACCAGGACAGGAAGUGGGAACAACAUAGUUGUACUCUAUCUUAAGUACAUGUCCCACACAUGUCCCACACUGUGCAAACAGCCAAGCCGGUUCCCAGAAAGGACAGAAAACAUGGUGACAGAAAGUAGAAUCCGCUAACCCAAUUCUUAAGAAAUAAACAUGAUUCAUGGAUAUGGGAACUCCACUGAUUCCUUACAGCUAUUCAAUGAUAACUGAACAUCUGAGCUUAGAAUUUAUUUCUAAAAUGUCAAAAAGACAUGAUAGAGUCAGUAAAAAAAAAAAAAAAAAGUGGUUGCCACAGGGGGUGGGGGAUGAGCAGGUGAAGCACAGAGGAUUUUUAGGGAAGUGAAUCUAUUCCCGUGAUACUAUAAUGGCAGAUACACGUCAUUAUACAUUUGUCAAAAUCCACAGGAUGUACAAUACCAAAAGGGAACCCUAAUGUCAACUAUGAAAUUAAAUGACAAUGAUGUGUAAAUGUAGGUUCAUCAAUUGUAACAUAUGUACCAUUCUGUAUUCACAGUGGGGGAGGCUGGAGGAGGGCAGGAG
rnacentral:lncRNA from 10 species